AAUAUUUUACAAUGGGCGAAAGCCUGAUACAGCCCUGCCGCGUGUGUGAAGAAGGNCUNNGGAUUNUNAAGCACUUUAAGUAGNNNNNACGCGCAGUAANUUAAUACAUUGCUAUUUUGUCGUUACCGAAAGAAUAAGCACUGGCUAACUUUGCGCCAGCAGCCGCGGUAAUACGAAGGGUGAAAGCGUUAAUCGGAAUUAGUGGGCGUAACGCGCGCGUAGGUGGUUUGUUAAGUUGGAAGUGAAAGCCCCGAGCUCAACCUGGGAACUGCUUUAAAAACUGGCAAGCUAGAGUAAGGCAGAGUGUGGUGGAAUUUCCUGUGUAGCGGUGAAAUGCGUAGAUAUAGGAAGGAACACCAGUGGCGAAGGCGACCACCUGGGCUAAUACUGACACUGAGGUUCGAAAGCGUGGGGAUCAAACAGG
rnacentral:rRNA from 1 species